AAUACCAACCGUUGGCGGUCGUUCUCUCUACUGCGAAGCUUAAGCAAAGCCAAUUCUCAAUAGAAGCUGUUCCUGCAUUAUCCAUGGAUGUAGACGACAACGGAAACGAAACUCCCGCGAUCAGAGCCCUGGGUUCACUAUUCAAGCUCACCGAAGUCUUUCUAUGGGAUGCUGCUCUGAUGGACACACCAGAGGUUUCUUCUUCACAUGUUCGUCACGGCAGCUACGUAGAACCUUCUAGCUCUCAUACUCGUGAUGCUGUCAGUAUGAACAUCGACGGUGAAACCAUUGAUUAUACUCCGUCCACUGACGAUACAGAACUUGCAAUACAGAUGAGUGCACUGGGGCUUCCUAUUUCCUUCAUCACGAACAAGAAGAAGAUUGGGAUGACCAAACGGAAAGGAAAGGGUGCACCUAUUAUUAAAGAUUGUUCUGUCCGUAAAGAGAAUGAGGAUGUACAGUUUCAAGUUUCCAAUGUGAGUGAGGUAGAGGUUGCAUCUUCAGUAAUUUCCUGUGAUAUCACAAGCAGUUAUUUAUGUGACACACCAACAGUGAGCCAAAGUGAAAUGUCUUACUGUGAUGUUGCAGUGAGCAGUAGAGAACAUUGUUAUUACUCUGGUGAUGGAGGUUUGACAGGCUUGACUUCUACGAGUCUCAGUGAAGUUGUUCAGGAACGAACUCCUCAGGAGAUAUCUGGUGAAUUAUCAAAUUCUGGAAUGGAAUAUGAAACUGUCCCUGGCAGUAUCAUGUCUAAUUGUGGUACUGAAGUGGCAGUUAUACCAGAUAAUUUAGGUACUACAGGUCCUCUAGAAGAUACUUCACAAGAUGCCCGCUCUGGAAUUGGUUUUGAGGAAUUGGACAAAGGACCAAUAGAAUAUAAAAAUUUAGAAGGUUCAUUUAUGGCUUACUAUGACAGGGAAGGUAGAAAGCUUUGUGUUGACAUCAGAACUGACAAGACAUGGGCCCUGGAUUCAGCUGUGUCACCUCAGGCUUCUGGCACGGUUGAUUGCAUUGACCUCAACAAUUGUAAAUGCCAUGCUGAUCCAGCAGAAUGGAUGACAUGCUGGGAUUCUUUCUAUAUGAGAAACUACUUCUAUAAUAUCAAAACACAAGAGUCAACCUGGUACCCACCUCCAGGGAUGGAACACUUGGCUUUUUCUGACAUGACAUCUAUGCCGGGUGAAGUGGUUGCUGAUGCCACUGAAAAGGAAGGUAGUUCUUCACUCUCAUGCAAUGGCAUCAAAGUAUUGGAUCCAUGUAGCUUACCGGAUAAAACUGUUUGUUUUGAGGAAACCAGGGACAAAGAUAAGUUAUCAGGUCAUCCUCACCGUGAAGUCUCCUCUGAGAUUGAUCUUGCUGCGUGUGGUUUUGUGUCUGGCAUGGAGUCAUCCACCAGCUGCAGUUGUGGGCAACUAGAUGAAUUAGAUGAUGAAAAAGUUUCCUUUUGUCCAUCCUCACAUUCCCAGGAUCACAUUGACAGUUUGGGUAAUCAACUAAAUCUAUUAGGUUCUGAAGAAGUUUCAAGAAGUGAGUUUUUAAACAAAUCUGUGAUAGUUACAUCUUCUGAGGAUGCAGAGAAGAUAUGUGACGAUAUGACCUAUCAUAGCUUUGAUGCUGACAGUUCGAUAUCUAGUGUCGCUAGAACUGUUUCCAAAGUGCAAUCAUCACACAUGAGUUCUACAAGGGAGGAGUUGGAUAGUCUCUGUGGUUCUAUUGCCUCAAAAAAGAAAAAGAAAGUGAGAAGGUCACGAUCACGGAGGAAUAUAUUAUCUGAUGACUAUGAAGAGCUUCCUUUCCACGGAAUAGAACAACCUACCGAUAUUCUUAAAUACUGGUGUCAGAGAUAUUUCCUCUUCUCCAGAUUUGAUGAGGGUAUAAAGAUGGACAAAGAAGGGUGGUUUUCUGUCACUCCAGAGACUAUAGCACAGCAUCAUGCAUCCCGUUGUGGUAGUGGAGUCAUAAUUGACUGUUUUACAGGAGUUGGUGGGAAUGCUAUCCAAUUUGCAACAAGGAGCAAUCAUGUCAUUGCAAUUGAUAUUGAUCCCCAAAAGAUCGACUAUGCGCAAUGUAAUGCAGCUGUUUAUGGAGUAAAUGAUAGAAUAGAUUUCAUACAGGGGGAUUAUUUCCACUUGGCCCCUAUGCUGAAGGCAGAGACAGUCUUCUUGUCACCUCCUUGGGGAGGACCUGAUUAUGCUAAAGUACAUACUUAUGACAUCAAGACCAUGCUUAAACCGUGUGAUGGGUGUCUUCUCUUCAGUACUGCAAGGAGGAUUGCUUCCAGAAUUGUCAUGUUCCUCCCUAGAAAUGUGGACCUUAAUCAAUUGGCGGAGUUGUCUCUCUCUGUCAAUCCUCCAUGGGCAUUAGAGGUUGAGAAAAACUUCUUAAAUGGUAAGUUGAAGGCAAUCACAGCCUACUUCAGUGAUACGUCAGAUGGAGACUAAUUCUUCCCCCUUCGAGCUGAAGCUGGAAUGUCAUAGAUUUUGACUAGCUCUUUGAGGAGGACCAUAUCUUGGGCUCUCAGUGUCCUUGCAAAUGGUUGAGAAAAAACUUCUUAAAUGUUAAGUUUAAGGCAAUCACAGCCUACUUCGGUGAUACGCCGGAUGGAGAUUAAUUUUCAACACUAGGGCUGAAGCUGAAAUGUCAUAAUAUUUGACAAGCUCAGUGUCCUUGUAAAUGCUAAUGAUACUCAAAAGUUGUCUGAGGUGUUUUCCGCUGUUUAUUACUCAUUUUAACCAUUAUAAAUAUUUUUGUUUUGUUUGGUUGGUUGGAUAACCACACUGCAUUUUUUCCCUCUUCAUGAAUAUCCAGUGUGCAUUGCAUUGCUUCUAUCUGCA